CGAACGGGUGCGUAACACGUGAGCGACCUUCCGUCUUCUGGGGGAUAGCCGGCCCAACGGCCGGGUAAUACCGCAUACGCUCUCUGGGCCGCAUGGCUUGGGGAGGAAACUUCCGGGGAGGACGAGGGGCUCGCGGCCUAUCAGCUAGUUGGUGCGGUAACGGCGCACCAAGGCGACGACGGGUAGCUGGUCUGAGAGGAUGGCCAGCCACAUUGGGACUGAGAGACGGCCCAG
rnacentral:rRNA from 1 species